CCCUUAGAUGUUCUGGGCCGCACGCGUGCUACACUGAGUGGAUCAGCGGGUCAGGUUGCGCGAAAGUGUUUCCUAAUCUUUAAAUCCGCUCGUGAUGGGGAUCGACGGUUGCAAUUUUCCGUCAUGAACGAGGAAUACCUUGUAAGCGCGGGUCAUCAUCCCGCGCUGAAUACGUCCCUGCCCUUUGUACACACCGCCCGUCGCUCCUACCGAUUGAGUGGUCCGGUGAGGCUUUGGGAUCUGAGCGGAAAGAGCGUUUCGCUGUUUCUGCUCGGAAAACUCAGUCGAACCUUAUCAUUUAGAGGAAGGAGAAGUCGUAACA
rnacentral:rRNA from 1 species